ensembl:snRNA U6 U6 spliceosomal RNA
GUGCUCACUUCAUCAGCACAUAUACUAUAAUGGGAACAAUACAGAGAAGAUCAGAAUGGCCCCUCUGUAAGGAUGACAUGUAAAUUCAUGAAGCAUUCCAUAUUUUU